CUCACCAGCCCUUCCAAAUUUCCCUAGAAAUCUGUGUAAAGCGUGGAGGGGAAAACAUUUGCAUAAAAAGUGAAGGAGCACGCCAAGAGAGAGCAGCCAUCAGGUGACCAGGAAGAAUUUCCAGGACAAAGUAUGGCCUUUUCCCAACCUGGGGCACAUGCUCACACCAGUUUUCUCACAGGAGCACCAAAGACCAAGAGGAGACCAGAUGAGUUUUCAGAGCAGUUCUCAGACACCCAGGACGCAUGUCAUCCUUUGCCUCGUGCUUUCUGCAAUGUUGCUGCUCACCUUCAUCUUUCUAUUAACCCUCGCCAUAACAAUCCCCUCCUGACACCACCACCUCUUCUCCAUUAAUCACCCACUCAGCUCUCUCUGAGGUGUCUCUCCCAUGGGGCAUGGCUUUGUCUCUGGCAGGCUCCCCUUGAAUCAUAUCCAGAUGGCUACCAUUUACUUCCUUUUCCUCUGUCUCCUCUUCACACCAGACUCAGUUAACACUCAGUCCCUUGAUCAGGAAAACCGGAGAAAAAGUUCCCUUUUCUAAAAAGGAAGUCAGAGCGUGCUCUGCUGGAGCCACCAUGCUCAGGGAAGAGACCCAAAAUACAGCUGAGUGUGAUGUCAUUGAAACCAGAUGGAAAGACCAGAAAUCCCUUAAUCCCAGUCAGACCUAGUGAAGCUUUACUUGUGACUGUUGGGACUGAUUAAGAAUAUGGGGGCAGGGAGGAAGAGAGGGAGAAAGAUGUUCUGAAUUGGAUUGCCCUUCAAUACAGAAUGGAAUCCCCUAGUUUUUUUGUCCUCCAAUUAAAUGUGCAUUUCAUUCUA
rnacentral:lncRNA from 1 species